rnacentral:misc_RNA from 1 species
ACGACUUUCGUCUCGCAGCAGCAGCUGGGCUGGCUGCAUUUCGUGUUUUUCCGCCAAAGUGUGAAGUCUCGUGGCUCAGAGCCCAAGUGUAGAAAAGAUUUAAAAAGUUCUCCUGCAUCCGAGCAAAAAAUUUAAAAUAUCGGUGCGAAAAUGCUAUAGAUCAAAAGCAAAGAGGAAAAUCAAAGGAAAAAAACCAAUUGGAAAUAAUCAAAAUGAAUCGUCUGCUGCUGCAGUGUCUGGUGGCCACCAUUCUGGUGUACAAAGUGAUUUCUGUGCCCACCAGCACAACUGGUACUAGUGUCCAGACCACCACAGAGAUCCCCCAACAGGACGACGACGACGACGAUUGGGAUGAGGACGAUGACUCCCUGGAAUCCGACGAUGACGGACGCGUCUACAAGAACCCUCGCAACUCACCCUCCACCGAGUGUCCCAGGGAUGAGGAGCAGGCUACGCUCUUGGGGCAGAAGUGCUUGAGAAAAUGCUCCUCGGACGAGGACUGCAAGAGCAAGAAGAAGAAGUGCUUGUGCGACGGCGUCUGCGGCAACUCCUGCAUCAAGCCGGACCGAGAGUGCCCGGAACUGGCUCAACCUACUCUGGGCCAGGUCACCGUGGCCGGUCGCCACUUUGGUGCCCGUGCCUCCUAUGCCUGUCCCCACGGCUAUCAUGUGGUGGGACUGCAGAGCCGUCUGUGCCAAGCCGACGGCAACUGGGCGGGCGCCGAGCCAGCCUGCAAGCAGAACAUCUACUGCCUGAAGCCACCACAGAUCGAGCAUGCACGGAACUCGGCCCUGCCCGAGCAGGAGACAUUCGACCUGGACUCGACGGUGCAGUACCAUUGCCAUACGGGCUAUGUGACCAAUGGAUUUCCUAGGGCCAAGUGUCUGGCCAUCGAUAACCAGGCCAGCUGGUAUGGACCCGAUAUACAAUGUGAACCCCGUUCCUGUGGCCAGCCACCGGAUCCGGCCUAUGGCUGGCAUGCCGGCGAGUGCUAUACGUACGGUUGCAAGAUCACCUACAAUUGUGGCACCGGCUACGAGCUGGUGGGCAAGCACGAGCGCUACUGCCAGUCGGAUGGCUCGUGGACGCCCAAGGAGCUGCCAACGUGUGUCUUGGUGACCUCUGUGGUCUGCCCCACGCCGGAGAAUCCCAAGAACGGCAAGGCCACCUACACCACCCUGGCCUACAAUUCGGUUGUGAGCUACGAGUGCCGCUACGGCUACACCCUGGUCGGCGAGAGCUCCAGUCGCUGCGGUGCCGAUCGCAAAUGGAGCGGAACCCUGCCCACCUGCAAGGAGAUCAAUUGCGGACAUCCUGGUGUCCUGUACAAUGGCUGGAUCGAGAACAUUGAGGCGGGCACUGGUCUCGGCGCCAGCAUCAUCUUCCGCUGCCAGCCCGAGAUGAUGAUCAACGGCUUGGGGUCGAGUGUCUGCCAGAUCGAUGGGCGCUGGCGCAAUGCCUUGCCCGAGUGUCUGGCUCCCUGCGUGGUUCCCACCAUAUCGCAGGGCUAUGUCAUUCCCAUCGAAAUAACCACAGACGAAAACGGAACGACAAUUGUCACGCCCACAACGACCACAACCCAGUCGCCCACCCAAACCCUGGGCGGAGUUGAGAAGGUCAAGCACGGCACUGCGCUGGAGGUGAAGUGCGAUGAGAACUACGAGUUUCCCGUCUCAUUGUUGAGUCCGCCGACCUGCAACAACGGCACCUGGAGCAUAAUACCACGCUGCAUUCCGGCCCGCUGCAAGAGCAUGCCGCGUCCUCCCAAGCAUGGCAUGGUGAUGGCCCCCAAGACGGAGCACGGCAUGAAGGCGCGCUUCAAGUGCAAGGAUGGGUUCAAGCUAGUCAGCCCAGAGGGCAAGGAUGUCACCGAUCCGCAUGAUUAUGUGCUCACCUGCUCAUUUGGCAAUUGGACGGGGGAGACGCCAAAGUGCGAUGAGGUCUUCUGCUCGUUUCCGGGCUACAUACCCAACGGAAAGGUUCUGCUGGUGGGCAACAUGGGGCUCUACGACUACCGGCCGUAUGUCAAGAAGAUAGUCAACAACAAACAGAUCAUGUAUGACUGUGACAAGGGAUAUGUCCUGGAGGUUGGUCCGCCGGGUGCCACUUGCGUGGGUGGUAAAUGGCGUCCCCUGGAUCUGCCGCAGUGUCUACUGGGCCAGCAUCCUCGACUCCGUUGGAAUCGCCGUCGACGUCGCUCCCUGCAGCUGCGUCAAUUGAGAUCCGUAUAUCUGCUGCAAAGACAGCGACAACUGCAACGCGAACUGGCGGAACACCAAAACCAUUUGGAGGGAGCUGGGACCUCAUCGCACCGGGUAAAGCGCAGCGCCAAUCCCACGGACCUGGAUCUGGCCUAUUCCAAAUACUAUCAGACCAUCAAGGAGCGCUAUCAGCGUUAUGUGCGCAAAAUGCUGGGCCACAACAGGAUUUAUCAGAAGCUGCACGCCCACGAUGGACUCUGGUACGAUCACAACAGUGCCAACAGUCCGAACAAUCCCGAGAUGGUCAUGAUGCGAGGCAAGACCACGCACAAGUGGCACAGCCCUAAGGAGGCCAAUGACUUUGAGGAUAGAAACGAUUAUCGAACUGGCGGAGUAGUGCCUCUGCCCAACAUCAAUCAGAGCUCGCGAACCCACACCCACACCCAGUCCAUAGACCAUGGCUCCAAUGAGGCGCCACUAGCCAACGGGUCACCGCCACGAGCGGCAUCAAGGAAGUAUCACCCGAACACGACACUCUCUUUCAUCGAACAGCUAAAGUCCCAGAUCGUGGGACGGCGUCGAAAACGGAGUACGAGCAUUGGCUCAGGCUCCCCUCCACCGUCCGCCACGCUGCCCGAUGCCGAUGUGGACACCAGUGACGGGGGCGAGGCAGGUAAAGGUGCUGGGGGUAAGCGUAUUCGCGGACCCUGCGAGGAUCUCGACUGGGAUUCGUUUGCCAACAUUACCACGGUGCGACCGGGCAAGGUGCCGGGACGAAAUUCCGUGGGCAUCAUGCUCCAACUGGAGUGCAAUGCGGGAUUCAAGCUGAACAUUAAGGGGGAGAAUGCUACGGCCCGCUGCAUACGCGGAAUCUGGAAGCCCGAGACCCCGCGAUGUAUGUCGGCCCCAUGCCUGGUGCCAGCCGUGGAGCAUGGCCAGUACUACAAGGUGGAGCCGCACACGAAGCAGCUGAGUGAUAAACCAUCUCUGACGCCGCUGUCCACCUACGAGGAGAUCCAGUCCAAUGAGUUCGUGACCCUGGAGUGCGAAGAUGGCUUCAACAUACAGGGCUUGGCUCAGCUGCGUUGUGCUCAUGGUUCCUGGUCGGUAGCCGCUUUCUCCGAGUGCACCUCCGUGCCUUGUACACUGCCCAACAUUCCGGGUGUCAUCUAUGAUGGCGGUUACCGGGCAGGUCUUACAAUCGGCCAUGGGAGCACAGUCAACGUGAGGUGUGAGCUCUCCACCAAUGCCAAUCCCAUUGAGAUGUCAUGCCACAAGGGCGUCCUCACGCCACCCAGUAUACCCUGCGAGUCGGGGAUGCGUAGGUCCCGCGAGGAGCUCGAACAUGCCACACCCACGCCGCAUCCCAAGGUGGAGCACAAUGAGCUGGACAACGAUCACGAUCAUCAUGACAACAACACGGACGAGCAUGACCAUGAUGACUUGAAGAUGUGUGGCCCGCCUAUGCUAACCGACGGCGCCCUGGUUUACAAAAAUACUGAUCCUCAUGUUGACAUUGAUGGAAUGUACGAGAGCGGCACAGAGAUCUUCUUUAAUUGCAUACCAAAUGCGGCUGGUGAUCGGCAGACAUGGCGCAUUAUCUGCGACAACGGACUGUGGAUAGGACGAUCCUACAAUUGCGAGAACGGCACGUGCGUGUUCAAGAACAACGAAGCGAAUGUGGUUAGCUUUUACAAUGAUCUUGAGAUCCGUGAAGAUGUUGUAGACUUUCCCCCAGGAGCUACUAUUAUCUCCAGGUGUGUCGAUAUUGGCAAGUUUUCCAUGACUGGGAGCCACGAGCGCACUUGCAUUCAUUCGGAAUGGACAAACACAAAGCCCGUGUGCUCAGGCCUGAAUCAGGAGAACGACUAUGCGAUGGAAAAGGCACCCACUAUCCUGUUUCGCCACCAGAAUGGACCCAUUGCCCAGAGCAAUGAUGGCAAACUUAUUGUCUACCCGGGCACCACGCUGCACAUGGAGUGUCUGUGGAUGCGGCGCUUCGGCAAUCCCAAAUGGAAUGUCAGUCACGUGCACAAGAACUACACGGAGGGCUGGGUGACCGAGGCGGAUGCGGGCCGGGACUCAUCGCUGGAGUAUCGGCUGAGCAUUUUCGAUGCCAGCCACGACGACACAGGAUUCUACUCGUGCAUGACCCCGGCGAGGCACGAGCACGCCGUCGAGGUGGUGGUCAAGGCGAUCAACUGCCCGGAGAUACCGAUACGAAGGGGCCUGAUCGUGAACACGAACGACACGAAGCUGAGCACACGCGUGCUGUUGUCCUGUGCCAAUGGCAACUCGUUGAUUGGCGCAUCGGAGCUGUUUUGCUUGCCGAGUGGCAAUUGGAGCGCACCGUUGCCGGUUUGCGAGAGCGUCGAGUGCGGAGAUAUACCGCUGCCGAACAAUGUGAGCUCGCCGCGCGUCUCCGUGCUGUCGCGGGAGGUGGGCGGGCGCGCGGCGUUCUCGUGCUCGUCGGGUUACGGCUUGCGAGGCCCUUCGGAGGCCAUCUGUAACCCGACGGGCGAAUGGUCGGCCCCAUUCCCCACAUGUGUUGAGGUGCAGUGCGAUAAUCCCGGUGCGCCGCAAAACGGUUACGCCCAGGGCUCGGCACCUUACCGUGCCGGCGAUGUGGUCCAGUUCAAUUGCAACCCGGAGUACAUGAUGCAAGGUCAGCCAAUAAUUGCCUGUCAGGAUAACGGCCGCUGGUCGGGCGGUCUGCCGAAGUGCGUACAGGCCUGUUCGUAUCCAGGCACCGUCAUCAGCGGCCGCAUGUCCUCGGUCAAGUUCUACUACGCCAUCGGCGAGAGCAUCACCUUCACCUGUGACGCUGGCCUCGAGCUGCGCGGCUCCAAGGUCCUCAAGUGCAUGAAGAACGGCAAGUGGUCCAGCGCCAUACCCACGUGCGUCACCAACGAUGCACCUCCGCCCGGCACUGUCGGCUCCAACAAGCAUGUGUCCAACACCAUGGGUUGAGUGGAGGAUACCACAACGAAGCAGCAGCUAGCAGCUGAGCGAGCGGCCGUUUAGCUCACAGUCUCACGCGUAUACUAACUUACUAAUACACUGACAUUCUUGCGAUUCGAAAUUUAAUUGUAAUUGUCUAACGGCCCAUCAUUUUACUAUUAAUAAAUGUUCGUCGAAUAAACAGUUCUUGGGCUGGGGCCUGGGAUUCCUGCGAGUAGUA